GUUUGGAGAGCAGAAAACUUGAGAUUGUUGGUUAACCACAGAUCAGUCACCAGCAGAGAUGAAAGAAGAAGAGAGGAGGAAAACAAACAGUGAAAAACACAGGAGAUGGGUCCAGGCAUGGCCUCCUCCCCCUUGAUUGCUGCCAAUCUGUCUCACCAGUUUCAAGCUUCACACCUGCAGCCCAUCCAGCAGUCAACCCAUCCAGCAGCCAACCCCGCAGUAUAAAACUCCUGGCUUUCCACACCCAACUCACCAGAUUGUUAUUAACUCUUGUGGAUCAUCUUCUAUCAUGAAAUAACCAGCUCUUCAGACCAACUGCAUUGCCUCAUCUCAGUAGGACCAGAGCCCUUCCUGUGCCAUUUACCAACAACACUGCUACCCAAAAUAAAACGUGACCCCUCACACUUCUAUUUCAAUAUUUCAGUAAUAUAUCAGGUCAGCUAGCCACAGUCUUUUUAUGCAUUUUAAAGUAUUACUAACACAGGAAGUCGAGGUGCAUUUGUUUAGCAUGUAUUUCUGGAGUGUAUUAAUCUGUUUUCUGCUUCACUGAGGCAGCAAACAAUGGGAUAGAAUAAAAUACCACUACAGUGCCCAUGUUCUUUAUAAUGAAGUAAAAUGUCAUCCAGAGCAAAGGGUUGGCGCAAUGGCAAAACACUUUUUAUUUGGAGCCUUUAAUUGUUAGUCUGAAGGUCAAACAGAGAAAAAAAAAUCCAAAUUAACAACUUAAUCAGAAAAACAGGCACAAACUGACUCAACCUUCAACAAGCUUGUUUUUCUAUUUUCCUGAACCAUUAAAAAGACUAAUUAUA